rnacentral:piRNA from 1 species
UGAGCUGCAACCUCUGUAGGUGUCUC